GACGAACGCUGGCGGCGUGCUUAACACAUGCAAGUCGAACGAAGUGGCGAACGGGUGAGUAAUACGUGAGUAACCUGCCCUCCUUUUUGGGAUAAGCCUUGGAAACGGGUUCUAAUACCGACUAAAGGUGGAUGGGCUCGCGGCCUAUCAGCUGGUUGGUGGGGUGACGGCCUACCAAGGCGGUGACGGGUAGCCGGCCUGAGGGGGUGACCGGAGACAUGGGGACUGAGGCACGGCCCAGACUCAGACGGGAGGCAGCAGUGUGGGAUAAUGCACACAAGGCGAAAGCCGGAAGGCGUGACGUCGGGUGGGGGAUGAAGGCUUUCGGGUUGUAAACCUCGUUCGGGAGCGAACGGGUAGGUGGAGAAGAAGCGCCGGCUAACUACGUGCCAGCAACCGCGGUAAUUC
rnacentral:rRNA from 1 species